AACGAACGCUGGCGGCAUGCCUAACACAUGCAAGUCGAACGAGACCUUCGGGUCUAGUGGCGCACGGGUGCGUAACGCGUGGGAACCUGCCCUUAGGUUCGGAAUAACUCCCCGAAAGGGGUGCUAAUACCGGAUAAUGUCUUCCGACCAAAGAUUUAUCGCCUUUGGAUGGGCCCGCGUUGGAUUAGCUAGUUGGUAGGGUAGAAGCCUACCAAGGCGACGAUCCAUAGCUGGUCUGAGAGGAUGAUCAGCCACACUGGGACUGAGACACGGCCCAGACUCGUACGCGAGGCAGCAGUGGGGAAUAUUGGACAAUGGGCGAAAGGCUGAUCCAGCAAUGCCGCGUGAGUGAUGAAGGCCUUAGGGUAGUAAAGCUCUUUUACACGGGAUGAUAAUGACAGUACCGGGAGAAUAAGCUCCGGCUAACUCCGUG
rnacentral:rRNA from 1 species